UACGUAGGCAGCAAGCGUUGUUCGGAAUUACUGGGCGUAAAGCGUGUGUAGGCGGUUGGGUAAGUCUGGUGUGAAAUCUCCCGGCUCAACUGGGAGGGUGCGCCGGGAACUGCCGAGCUAGAGUGCGGAAGAGGCAACUGGAAUUCCCAGUGUAGCGGUGAAAUGCGUAGAUAUUGGGAAGAACACCUGAGGCGAAGGCGGGUUGCUGGGCCGACACUGACGCUGAGGCGCGAAAGCCAGGGGAGCGAACGGG
rnacentral:rRNA from 1 species